rnacentral:rRNA from 1 species
GAUGAACGCUGGCGGCGUGCUUAACACAUGCAAGUCGAACGGAAAGGCACUUACUUGUUGCGGUACUCGAUUGGGGGACGCGUGCGUAACACGUGGGUAACCUGCCCUGCACUUUCGGAUAAGAUUGCGAAGCUGGACCUAAUACAAUAUCGGACCACAUCUUGGAUGGAGUGGUGGAGAGUUUUUGGGCGUGGGAUGAUCUAGCGGCCGAUCAGCUUGUUGGUGGGUUACUGGCUUACUGACCCGUCGACGGGUGGCCGGCCGGAGAGGGGGGACGGCCACAUGGGGACUGAGGGACGGCCCAGACGCCUACGUGAGGCAGUAGUGGGGAAUAUUGCACAAUGGGAGCGCGUCUGUGGAAGAGACGCCGCGUGUGGGAUGACGGCUUUUGGGGUGUAAACACCUUUCGCUUGGGACGCAGCGGUAGUGACGGUACCUGGAGAAGAAGCACCGGCUAACUACGUG